rnacentral:lncRNA from 1 species
UCGGAAAAACAUUAAAAAAACUAUUAGUUUUUUCAAGAGCAAAUUGUUGUCGCUAAUAAAUAAUACACUGGUCAGAAAUACAAUUAUACAAGGCAUAAUUAAUGAUAAAUCUUCUCAAGUUAGACCUGAUGUUAGUGAUAUGUUUAAAAAUAAAUUAGUGGCUAAUUAAAUUAUGCACUGGCACUACCUAAUUAAAAGCCCGAACUUGAACACGGUGGUUAAUUAAAUUAUUAUUAGUCCACUAAAAUUGAUUUCAUUUGAAAAAAAUGGAGAAGAAGGCGAUUAGAAGAUCACAGCUCUCCCUCUCAAUAACUUUUUAAUUAAACAAGGAUCUGACAAUUACCUAUCAUUUUCACAUCUCCAUUGUUCUCACUUCUCAAUUCCCCGAAGGUGAUUAUCUCACUUCUUCAUUGUUCGAUCUCUCAAUUUUGCUGUUGAUUUCUUUAUUUUUUUUCAAACUAAUUAAGAUUAGAUUCAAGUUAGUUUUGGAUUAGUUUAUGAUUUCCAUCAGCUGAUGCAUUUUAGGGUUCUAAUCAGAGAUCUCUUCACGUUGCCCAACAGACACAUCGAACGAUCCAAAUUCAAACAGGUCAUUAAAAUAGCCGAUCAAGGUCCAAUUUUCAUGUAAUUUCAAAAGCAUCAAUUUACUUAUUUUGAGUCUCUUUCUGAUUUCAAUGCAGUCUUCAAGCUGUUUGUUGAAAUGCCUGAUAGAAAAAGGAAUGUUAUUUAAAUACAGUUGGGGCUUAGUCAGUAGAUAUUAAACUAUCAGGUUCAUGGAGACUAUAAUCCUAGUGUAUAAUUACAACUUGGCAGCAUCAUUUUUGUAUUUAUUUAAUUUUCUUUUUUCAGAAACAAUAUUGAUUAUUCCAUUUCGUUGAUCAUGAAUCAUGUGAAUUAAUUAUCAAUCCAUGCAUGUUUAUCAUCUCGUGUUAUUAAUUAAUAGUAUGGCAUAAUUAAAGCAAAAAGGAUAUGACAUAGCAUAAGCUGAUUAAGAUGACUCGAGAAUCAAGAGCGGCAGCUCAUUCUUGAUUUUUAGAAACUAAUUAAGAAUCAAAUCCAGUAGGGAAGAAUAAGAGAAUAACAACCAAAAGAAAAAAAUAUUGAAUCAGAGAGCAGGCCUAGCUACUACUCCCUUUUUAGUUUGUAUUUUGCUCGUUAUUGAAUUUAAUUUUACAUAGCAUGUGCUGCCACUGUUUAUUUGCUUUCAUGGUAACACCUAUAUGUAAUAUAAAACCUCUGAAAAACUUUCCUUUCAAGUAUACAGAGACUGUGGAGGUACACAGGGACUGUGGACUUUCAAGCUUUGUCCAAUUUUUGUUUUCCUUGUUGAAUUUCUUAGUUGAUAUAUGGGGACUAUGGACUCUGCCAUCAAAUUGAAGAGUAAAGUAGCACAUGCUGCAGCUGCUGGAGAAUUUAAUAACAAUGUUCCUUAUCUGAGUGCACAAUGUGGCUGAAAUUAAGGUAACUAACAUAUUAUUUUCUGUUUGGAUUCUAAUUACUGAAUUUAUUUGAGUGUACAUUCAAAACCAUGCAUGCUGAGUGUUGGAUUAUCAGGAAAAUACUACUACUAUGCUUAAAUUAUAUUUUCUUUUUCUUUUUUUUUGGGUUAAUUUAUAUGCAUAUAUAAUUUGACAGCUGAUGAGUUUUCAGUUGAGCUAGCUGAAGGGCUUGCUUUUAAUUUGUUGCUGUUCAUGAUGAUGAAUCCAAGCUCUUUAUGGUCGUUUUACUCUCUUUCACAGUUUGUGAACAAUUUAUAGUUGGCGAUGGUUGAUUCCUCAAGUAGCAAUUAUUUCAUGCUCAUUGUGUGGCAUUCUUCAUUGUAUUAUAGUUUCUGGAGAAAGAAGUGACGAGGUUGAAAAGAAUAGUGAAGCUUGUACUUGGAAACUCAAGUGCACAAGAAUCAUCUCUUAUGUUACAGAUUGUUAAUUUUCAUUUACUUUCAAGCCUUUUUUUUAAUUUUGUUUUUCACUUUCUAAUUAUAGAAACUAACCAUAACAGGGUUUUGUAACUGAUAGACCAGAUUAUCACAAGCACAUAAAUCUUCUAAUGGCAGUGUUGCAUUUUUCGGCCUCUCUAAACUUGUAUAAGGACUAAUGUCUAAAUUUAGAAUCCAACUCCUGCUGUUGACUUCAAAAUUAGCAUAUUUGCUUAUUGAGACAAAAUUUUGGUCUAAUGAUUAUUAUCCAUUCCAGUCUCAUAUUUUGUCAGGCUUCUUAAGCAUAUCUUGGAUAUAAUACUUAUGCUCAGCUCUAUACAAAGUGAUUGUCGAAUAUAACCUACUAUUAUACUAGUUACUGAUUUGAUAAUUUACUGAUUAAUAUUUCUUCGUUGAUCUAGGAUAUUAUUUGGUCUACUAAUGAUGAUGUGGGGAUGGAGCAGAUUCAUAUUUCUUGAUUCAUAUAGGAUAUUAUUUGGUCGAAUGAAGAUGAUGAUGGGAAUGGAGAAGAUAAGGUGGAGGCAAACGUACGUCUCAGAGACUAAAGAACACGUGUUGGAGGAUGCUUGAAAUAAUUCAAGCUAUGAAAUCAUAUUGCGUAUACAUUUGAGAAUUUUUUUUAAUAUACUAUUAAAAUUGAUUAUGUUGUACUUUUGAUUGGUGAAUGUGAUAUCUAUAAAUUUUUUAAAUUAAUAAAGCUACAUUUAAUGUAUUUUGCGUGUUGCUAUUGCCAUU